rnacentral:lncRNA from 1 species
ACAUGUUGCCAGCAUGCAUUACACUGUUGGACACAUAUUAAGUACUUAAUAAAUGCUUUACCAAAUCAUUUAUCCAUCUACAAAGAGCAAGAAGGCCAACUUGGCCAAAAUAAAUAGUAUUGUGUGAGAGACUAAAAUGAAAUACUGGAUUGUCUGGAAAGGCAAAAUGAUUCUUUUUGUGAUUUCCUACCAAGAGUUCUGGGGAAAAGACUAGUAACACCAUGCUAAGUCACAGGUAAUGACCAAAGGGGAAAGACCAUUCAUUCCAUGCUAAGUCAAAGCAGGGAAGAGCUCAUAUGAAGUCUCUCUUUGCCACAAAUUAUGCAGUUGAGUUUCCUGCAGUUGGGGAAAUUACAGGGGUCAGCCCAUCUGCAAUGGAUAAGCCUCGCUGGGGAAAUCACCCUUCUGGUCAUGGAAUCGCCCCUGCCAGAGAGCCAUUUUUCCAUGCUGGAAGCUGUCCAUUCUUGAAUCAUGGAGAUCCAAGAAACAUUGCAUGCAGCUUGCUGGUUGCAUUUUCUUUGUGGAAGAAAAGAAACACGAUCUGAAAUUGUUAAUAUACAUUCUAGAAUGACACUAAUUUUUAGCAAUUUUCUGUGUCCUAUCAAAUACCAACACCUAAAAACCAGUUUACUUUAAGAAUUCAUGCAUCCUUCAAUUAUCUGUAAGAAUAAUUCCCAUGCUUCACCCAGAAAACACACUGUUCUGAAAAUUAUGAAAAAAAUUUGCUUUAAAAAUGCUGUUUAAGUAGCAUCGUUAAUGGAAGAGCAGUGCUUUAAAAUUGAGAACACAUUCCAAAGAUGGCUCAAUUUAAAAUUCCUCAAAGUAACUGAAAAAACAUUUGAACUUGAAAAGAUUCAGCAUGCAUGAGUAUUUUAAUGGGGAAAAAUAGGUGUC